AUGACUACACACCAUCACUACACACCACCACCACUACACACACCACCACCACUACACACCACCACCACCACACACCACCACCACCUCCACCACUACACACACCACCACCACUACACGCACCACCACCACUACAAACCACCACCACCACAACUACACACACCACCAUCACUACACAGACCACCAUCACUACACACACCACCACCAUCACUACACACCACCAUCACUACACACCACCACCACCACUACACACACCACCAUCACUACACACCACCACCUCCAUCACUACACACCACCACCACUACACACCACCACCACCAUGACUACACACACCACCAUCACUACACACCACCACCACCAUCACUACACACCACCACCACCACCACUACACACCACCACCACUACGACACACACCACCACCACUACACACCACCACCACCACUACAACACACCACCACCACCACCAAUACACACACCACCACUAAACACCACCACCACCACUACACACAACCACUACACACACCACCACCACCUCCAUCACUACACACACCACCACCUCCAUCACUACACACACCACCACUACACACACCACCAUCACUAAACACAACCACCACCACUACACACCACCACCACCACCACUACACACUCCACCACCAUUACACACCACCACUACCAUCACUACACACACCACCACUACACACCACCAUCACUACACACCACCAUUACACACACCACCACCUACACCACUACACACACCACCCCCUCCAUCACUACACACCACCACCAUCACUGCACACCACCACCAUCACUGCAAACCACCACCACCGCUACCCACACCACUACACACAAUCACCACCACUACACACACCACCACCUCCAUCACUACACACACAACCACCACUACACACACCAUCACCUCCAUCACUACACACACCACCACCUCCAUCACUACACACCACCAUCACUACACACCACCACCACUACACACCACCACUACUACACACACCAUCACUACACACACCACCAUCACUACACACCACCACCACCACCACUACACACCACCACCACUACACACCACCACCACCACCACUACACACCACCAUCACUACACACCACCUCCACCACCACUACACACCACCACCACCACACACCACCACCACUACACACCACCACCACCAUCACUACACACACCACCAUCACUACACACCACCUCCACCACCACCACUACACACCACCACCACCACUACACACACCACUACACACACCACCACCACUACACACACCACCACCACUACACCCCAACACCACCAUGAAUACACACCAACACCACCAUGA
rnacentral:lncRNA from 1 species